GACGAACCGUGCGAACGUUGUUCGGAUUCACUGGGCUUAAAGGGCGCGUAGGCGGCUGGCCAAGUCAGGGGUGAAAUCUUUCGGCUCAACCGGAAACGUGCCCCUGAUACUGGCCGGCUUGAGGAGGGUAGGGGCGGAUGGAACUUCCGGUGGAGCGGUGAAAUGCGUAGAUAUCGGAAGGAACGCCGGUGGCGAAAGCGAUCCGCUGGACCCUCCCUGACGCUGAGGCGCGAAAGCCAGGGGAGCGAACGGG
rnacentral:rRNA from 1 species